ACGGCUCAGUAACACGUAGUCAACUUACCCUAUGGACGAGGAUAAUCUCGGGAAACUGAGCAUAAUACUCGAUAGAUCAUAAUGCCUGGAAUGGUUUAUGGUUAAAAUGAUUCGUCGCCAUAGGAUGGGACUGCGGCCUAUCAGCUUGUUGGUGAGGUAAUGGCCCACCAAGGCGAUUACAGGUACGGGCUCUGAGAGGAGAAGCCCGGAGAUGGGUACUGAGACAAGGACCCAGGCCCUAUGGGGCGCAGCAGGCGAGAAAACUUUGCAAUGUGCGAAAGCACGACAAGGUUAAUCCGAGUGAUUUCUGCUAAAGAAAUCUUUUGCAAGUCAUAAAACCACUAGUGAAUAAGGGGUGGGCAAGUUCUGGUGUCAGCCGCCGCGGUAAAACCAGCACCUCAAGUGGUCAGGAGGAUUAUUGGGCCUAAAGCAUCCGUAGCCGGCUCUGUAAGUUUUCGGUUAAAUCCAUGUGCUCAACGCAUGGGCUGCCGAAAAUACUGCAUAGCUAGGGAGUGGGAGAGGUAGACGGUACUCGGUAGGAAGGGGUAAAAUCCUUUGAUCUAUCGAUGACCACCUGUGGCGAAGGCGGUCUACCAGAACACGUUCGACGGUGAGGGAUGAAAGCUGGGGGAGCAAACCGGAUUAGAUACCCGGGUAGUCCCAGCUGUAAACGAUGCAGACUCGAUGAUGCAUUGGCAUAUAGCCAGUGCAGUGUCGCAGGGAAGCCGUUAAGUCUGCCGCCUGGGAAGUACGUACGCAAGUAUGAAACUUAAAGGAAUUGGCGGGGGAGCA
rnacentral:rRNA from 1 species